rnacentral:lncRNA from 1 species
AGCCAAGGUGAGCAAUCUGGUUUGUUGUACGACUACCCCAGAAUCUUGGAUGCCAUCAAGUCAGCUAUGGCAAGGAUGUAGGCUAAGCAUCAUAGUACCUAUUCUGUCACUUAGUGCUUAUCUCUAGGAACCGCAGCUUCCCACAGCUUCAUCUAUGUAAGGAUGUAGGCUAAGCAUCGUAGUACCUAUUCUGUCACUUAGUGUUUAUCUCUAGGAACCGCAGCUUCAUCUAUGUUUGAACAUUGAGGUGACGUGGUGGAUGUUUAUUUGCAAGAAAUGCCCUUGUUUUCAGUAUCGAAAUUCUGUUGCUGGAUUUUGCCAUGCACUGCCUUGCAUGAUGAUCUUCUUGUCUGGUUGAGCUGGACAUGUCAUCUAACUGCUUCAGUUGUACACACUGCUAAGACUGGAAUUUUGGUGUUUUACGUAGAGACAGAGACUUCUUUUGUUUAGUUG